GUGAGAAACCUUACCACUGUGAUAUCUGUGGGAAAUCAUUCACUCUAAAGGUUGUCUUAACUAAACACAAACGUACUCAUACAGGUGAAAAGCCAUAUCACUGUGAUAUCUGCAGUAAAUCAUUCAUUCAAAAGGGACAAUUAAGUAGACACAAAUGUAUUCAUUCAGGGGUGAAGUCACAUCAUUGUGACACCUGUGGUGAAUCAUUCUCUGAAAUAGAUCACUUGACCACUCACAGACUCAUUCAUUAGGAGAGAAACCAUGUCAUUGUGAUAUCUGUGGUGAAUGGUUCUCUCAAAUAAA